rnacentral:rRNA from 1 species
ACGGAGGAUGCAAGCGUUAUCCGGAAUGAUUGGGCGUAAAGGGUCCGCAGGUGGCUGUGUAAGUCUGCUGUUAAAGAGUCUAGCUCAACUAGAUAAAAGCAGUGGAAACUACACAGCUUGAGUACGUUCGGGGCAGAGGGAAUUCCUGGUGUAGCGGUGAAAUGCGUAGAUAUCAGGAAGAACACCGGUGGCGAAAGCGCUCUGCUAGGCCGCAACUGACACUGAGGGACGAAAGCUAGGGGAGCGAAUGGGA